GACAGAGGGUGCAAACGUUGCUCGGAAUCACUGGGCGUAAAGGGCGUGUAGGCGGGAGGGAAAGUCAGAUGUGAAAUCCCCAGGCUCAACCUGGGAACUGCAUUUGAAACUCCCCUUCUUGAGUACCGGAGAGGAAAGCGGAAUUCCUGGUGUAGAGGUGAAAUUCGUAGAUAUCAGGAGGAACACCAGCGGCGAAGGCGGCUUUCUGGACGGUAACUGACGCUGAGACGCGAAAGCGUGGGGAGCAAACAGG
rnacentral:rRNA from 1 species